rnacentral:lncRNA from 1 species
ACUGACCUUAAACUGAUUAAAGUGUGUCGGAAGAGAUAUCAAAACAAAAUACCCAAGCAGUUCCUCAGGUAAUUCCAGCUUGAGUGACUUAAGUUUCAAAGCAAGAUAAGACAUUUCCAAAAUGUACUCCCGAAUGUUUCCCUUGCCCUUAUACCUCAUAGAAACAAGUUUACUCAAUAGUGCACUUGUUUCCGCCUUUUCGUUUUGAAUAAAACGCUGUUCGAGGUUUUNN